GAUUAAUAGAAAUGGGUUAACUUAAGAUGUAAGAGCUAGCUAGAAAGACGCCUAAGCUUUUGGCCAAACAGUAUUGUAAUUAUAUAGCUUUUGUGUGAUUAUUUGGGUCUGAGCAGCCGGAAAAUGAAUGAGCAGUCUCUGUCUACAACUGAUCAUGGCAUUCAGCUCUCUGUCCCCGAGACAACAUGCCUGAGAACAGCAGGUCAUAGGGGCAAACUGCUGGUUCAGAGUCUAAGAGGUUUCAGUUCAUGGCUGCCUGGCUCAUUGCUGGUCAGCCUAUGCUGAGGAUGGACAUCAGGACUGAAGAGGAAAGAAAGCCACCUGCCUCAUGGCUGCCAGGAAACAGUGAGAGGGAAAGAAAUAAGAGGCACCCUUCAAAACCGUGAGCAGUGCUGGGAUUGAACCUAAAGCUGCAUGCAUGUUAGGCACGUUUCUGCCAUCUCUACCAUAGCCACAGCUCUGGACAUUUUCUUUUAAAAGUGAAAAUUUGUAAACACACCUCUGAGAGAUUUAUUGAAAAUAGAAGAAACAGAUUUACUUAAGAAAACAGAGAAUCAAUUCUCUACAAACUAGUCCAACUGUGUGUCAAGUCACGUUCCCAGAAACCCAUCUGUCAUUCUCAUUGAGAAUGACAUUUCUCACAGUUGGGAACUUCUCAGAGGAAUCUACAAAGUAAACUAUUUUCUCCAGUGUUUCUGAGCCAAGUGAUCCUCCCAGAACCCCGAUUUGUCUCUCCUGAGGGAUAGGGGAAGCUGAAAUCUGAGAUAUUCUGAAGGUCUCCUUUGCUGUCUGUCUUCUAGCUCAGGAAAUGAAGACAAGGUGAGAGCUGGUGCCCAAGGAGGCCAGAAGCCUUGGAUUCCCUGCAGCUGAAGUUACAGAUGGUUCUGAACUUCCUGAUGUGGUGCUGGCAACUGAACUCAGGACCUCUGGAAGAGCAGCAAGUGCUUUUAACUGAUGAGCCAUCUCUCCAACCCCUAAGCAAGAAGCUCUAAAGAUGCUGCUGGCUGGAAUCAAACUCAAUUUGGGAGAACUCUUCAUCAGUCUGAGGACGUUCUUCAUUGCUGCCCUUUGGGGAGCGAGCAGGCUAGUCAUGCCUGUGAGACAAGCUGGCGUGUCCAUCCUACUCCUUCUCCACACCCCACAGAACAGGAUGGCUGUCCCCCAGAAACCAAGAUGUCUCAAAGCUGAGAACUCUAUCUUGAGAGAGAUCUGUGCUUUUUUGUAUAAGCAUACAAUCAUAGAAAACAUCUUUUCUUUAAUAUUUUAAUUUGGUUUUGAUAAUUCCAUAUUGUGUACAAUGUAUUUUUGUCAUAUUCUUCCCCAGACCCCUCUCUAAUCCCCUAUUCCUCCCCAUGGAACCCUCUUCCCGACACAUCCCCCUCCUUAUUUCAUACCCAGUUUACAAAUUAGAAUAUAAUUACAUCAUCUCCCCCUUUCCUCUACCCCCUCCCAUUUAUAAAAAUAGCUCACUAAGCUUAUUCAAGAUGGUUUGCCUGUGUGUAGCUGGAUCAUGGGCAACUUACAAGUAGCUACACCACUGUGGAAAAAUGACUCCCUCUUCCUUAGAAGCCUUUAGCGUCCAUUGGCUCCCAGCUAAGGGUGGCAAUGGGAAGGGUCUUAAUAUUAUGAGCAGCAGGCAGUAACUUCGGACAGAGAGAUGGGUAUUGAUUAGGAGAGUCUGUAAUCAGAAUAGGCUCAUAAGAAAGAAAGGGCCAAUAAGAGCAGGAAAGUUGUCCCUGUCCCCCACCAGCUGCAGCACUCAGGAGAACAGGCCCCGCACCUCCCCUGAGCAGCAGAGUAGAGCUGACCCUGUUGGCGGAGAUGUGGGUGAGCCACCCCCGAUGUGUGAGCAUGGAAGAGGCAUCCCCACUACUCAUCUGUCUUGUGACAGCCUGGGCAGGAAAGAGAUACCCCUACCCCAUCCAUCAAUGCCUGAGGCAGAUGGAGAACUGGCCCUGAGGUCACAAGAGCAAGAGAGUUGUCCCUGUCCCUCAUCAGCUGCAGCACUUUGAAGGCUGGCCCCUACACCUCACCUGGAAAUACAGUAAAGCUGGCCCUGACAGAGUAGGCAUGAGAGAACUGACCCUGGGGAUGGAAAAAGCCAGAGACUGCUCAUCAUUGCAAAGCCCCAGGAGUCCUGGAGAGCCCACCCUAGUGGUGAAGACAGAGGAGAGCUGGCAGGCUGACCAAUUCUGCAAGUACCAGGGCUAUGUGUUGACCCACCCCAACAUCCACCCCGUCUGUGAUCUGCUGGAGCAAGGGGAGGACUCAAAUAUCAGUCCUAUGGACCUAGGGCUUCAGGAUCUUCAUGACACAGGACAGCAACGGAUGUCCAGGAAAAGACCCAGUGAGGGCCCAGAAUUAAUGGUGCAGCAGAGUCCAGUGGCCAAUGAUUCUCUUCCAUAAACACCUGCAUGUAAAAAUAUAUGGCUAAAGGCGUUUGCUGCAUGACCAUUGUCAAACUGCAGCUUCCGUGAUGAGAUUUCCCUUCCUCUCUUUUUCUCUUUUUUAUUUUCUUUCACCUCAUAUUUGUUUAAAUUUUAUUUAUUUAUUUAUUUUUUGGGUAGGAAGGGAGAUGGGUGGGAUCAGAAGGCAUGGUGUAAAAGGCACAAAGGAUGAAAAAGGGAAAAAAUGAAGCAAGCAAGAAAAAAAGGAAGGAAGAAAAGAAGGAAGAUAGGGCCCAAAGAUGUGGAAGUGGGGGAGUAAGAAAGUGGCCCAUUCUUAAUGUUCACUGUAGGGAAGAUAAUACAAGCCAGACAGGAAGUCAGGAAACAGCAUAGUUUGCCCAAUAACAAAUGUUAGGAGAAAGUGACCACGCAGGAAGGAAAAA